rnacentral:rRNA from 1 species
GUAGGGAAUAUUGGGCAAUGGUCGGAAGACUGACCCAGCCAUGCCGCGUGCAGGAAGACGGCCCUCUGGGUUGUAAACUGCUUUUAUCUGGGAAGAAAAAGGCCAUGCGUGGCAAAUUGCCGGUACCAGAUGAAUAAGCACCGGCUAACUCCGUGCCAGCAGCCGCGGUAAUACGGAGGGUGCGAGCGUUGUCCGGAUUUAUUGGGUUUAAAGGGUGCGUAGGCGGCUGAUUAAGUCAGCGGUGAAAGACUUCGGCUUAACCGGAGCAGUGCCGUUGAUACUGGUUGGCUUGAGUGUCGGAGGGGUACAUGGAAUUGAUGGUGUAGCGGUGAAAUGCAUAGAUACCAUCAGGAACACCGAUAGCGAAGGCAUUGUACUGGCCGACAACUGACGCUGAUGCACGAAAGUGUGGGGAUCGAACAGGAUUAGAACCCCUUGUAGUCC